UCUUCCGCAAUGGACGAAAGUCUGACGGAGCAACGCCGCGUGAGUGAUGAAGGCUUUCGGGUCGUAAAACUCUGUUGUUAGGGAAGAACAAGUGCUAGUUGAAUAAGCUGUCACCUUGACGGUACCUAACCAGAAAGCCACGGCUCACUACGUGCCAGCAGCCGCGGUAAUACGGAGGUGGCGAUCGUUAUCCGGAAUUAUUGGGCGUAAAGCGCGCGCAGGUGGUUUCUUAAGUAUGAUGUGAAAGCCCACGGCUCAACCGUGGAGGGUGAUUGGAAACUGGGAGGCUUGAGUGCAGAAGAGGAAAGUGGAAUUCCAUGUGUAGCGGUGAAAUGCGUAGAGAUAUGGAGGAACACCAGUGGCGAAGGCGACUUUCUGGUCUGUAACUGACACUGAGGCGCGAAAGCGUGGGGAGCAAACAGG
rnacentral:rRNA from 1 species